AGUCACAUGCUUAUAUGUGUGAUGAUGUCAUGCCGUGUGAGUGUUUAACUGCUUUGACGGCCGCAGUACCUUGACUGUGCUAAGGUAGCAAAAUCAAUAGGCCUUUAAUUGGGGUCGGGUAUGAACGGCUUUAUGGAUUAGAGCUGUCUCUCAUAUUAUAUGAAAGUUACUUAGUAGGUGAAAAUUCCUACAUUUAAUUAUUAGACGAGAAGACCCUUAGAGUUUUUAUGAACUGCAUUUCUGAUAAUUCAUCCAUUUUUGUUGGGGCGACAAUAUAUUCAACUUAACAUAUAUACACUGGACGUGCCUUUUGAUUGAGAGAUGAAUAUAACUACCUGAGGGAUAACAGCAUAAUUUAUUUUUAAGAUUGUGACCUCGAUGUUGGACUAGGGCCUAUAAAUAGCAGUACUAUUUGUAGAAGAUUCUGUUCGAAUUUCUUUCACCU
rnacentral:rRNA from 1 species